rnacentral:rRNA from 1 species
GGAGUCCGAGUUGUAAUUUGUAGAAGAUGCUUUGGGUUGCGAGUUCGGCCUAAGUUCCUUGGAACAGGACGUCAUAGAGGGUGAGAAUCCCGUAUGUGGCCGAGGCCCGCGCCUAUGUAAAGCUCUUUCAACGAGUCGAGUUGUUUGGGAAUGCAGCUCAAAAUGGGUGGUAAAUUUCAUCUAAAGCUAAAUAUGGGCCAGAGACCGAUAGCGCACAAGUAGAGUGAUCGAAAGAUGAAAAGCACUUUGGAAAGAGAGUUAAACAGUACGUGAAAUUGUUGAAAGGGAAGCGCUUGCAACCAGACUUGGGCGCUGCUGAUCACCCCGAGUUCUCUCGGGUGCACUCGACAGCGCACAGGCCAGCAUCGGUUCGGGUGGCUGGAUAAAGGCCGUAGGAACGUGGCUCCCUUCGGGGAGUGUUAUAGCCUACGGUGCCAUGCAGCCCAGCCGGACCGAGGACCGCGCCUUCGGGCUAGGAUGCUGGCGUAAUGGUUGUAAGCGACCCGUCUUGAAACACGGACCAAGGAGUCUAACAUCUAUGCGAGUGUUUGGGUGGUA